rnacentral:rRNA from 1 species
CCUACGGGAGGCAGCAGUGAGGAAUAUUGGUCAAUGGCCGGAAGGCUGAACCAGCCAAGCCGCGUGAAGGACGAAGGUGCCAAGCAUUGUAAACUUCUUUUGUCAAGGGACAAAAUCAGGCUCGAGAGCCUGACCGAGGGUACUUGAAGAAAACGCAUCGGCUAACUCCGUGCCAGCAGCCGCGGUAAUACGGAGGAUGCGAGCGUUAUCCGGAUUUAUUGGGUUUAAAGGGUGCGUAGGCGGGGUGUUAAGUCUGGGGUAAAAGCCCGGGGGCUAACCCCGGCGAGCCGGUGGAGCCUGGGCAGCUGGAGAGGAGGGGAGGUAUGCGGAAUUCGCAGUGUAGCGGUGAAAUGCUUAGAUAUUGGGAAGAACACCGGUGGCGAAGGCGGCUUACCGG